UCCAGGGCUUCACGCAUGCUACAAUGGCCGGUACAAAGGGCUGCGAAACUGUAAGGUGGAGCGAAUCCCAAAAAGCCGGUCUCAGUUCGGAUUGGGGUCUGCAACUCGACCCCAUGAAGUCGGAGUCGCUAGUAAUCGCAGAUCAGCAACGCUGCGGUGAAUACGUUCCCGGGCCUUGUACACACCG
rnacentral:rRNA from 1 species